rnacentral:rRNA from 1 species
CCUGCGGGAGCCACCAGUGGGGAAUAUUGCGCAAUGGGCGAAACCCUGACGCAAGGACGCCGCGUGGGGGAUGACGGCCUUCGGGGUUGUAAACCUCUUUUUACCACUCACGCAGGCCCCGCGUUCUCGCGGGGUUGACGGUAGGUGGGGAAUAAGGACCGGCUAACUACGUGCCAGCAGCCGCGGUAAUACGUAGGGUCCGAGCGUUGUCCGGAAUUAUUGGGCGUAAAGAGCUCGUAGGCGGCGUGUCGCGUCUGCUGUGAAAGACCGGGGCUUAACCCCGGUUCUGCAGUGGAUACGGGCAUGCUAGAGGUAGGUAGGGGAGACUGGAAUUCCUGGUGUAGCGGUGAAAUGCGCAGAUAUCAGGAGGAACACCGGUGGCGAAGGCGGGUCUCUGGGCCUUACCUGACGCUGAGGAGCGAAAGCAUGGGGAGCGAACAGGAUUAGAUACCCUGGUAGUCCAUGCCGUAAACGUUGGGCGCUAGGUGUGGGGACUUUCCACGGUUUCCGCGCCGUAGCUAACGCAUUAAGCGCCCCGCCUGGGGAGUACGGCCGCAAGGCUAAAACUCAAAGGAAUUGACGGGGGCCCGCACAAGCGGCGGAGCAUGUUGCUUAAUUCGACGCAACGCGAAGAACCUUACCAAGGUUUGACAUCACCCGUGGACCUGUAGAGAUACAGGGUCAUUUGGUUGGCGGGUGACAGGUGGUGCAUGGCUGUCGUCAGCUCGUGUCGUGAGAUGUUGGGUUAAGUCCCGCAACGAGCGCAACCCUUGUUCCAUGUUGCCAGCACGUAGUGGUGGGGACUCAUGGGAGACUGCCGGGGUCAACUCGGAGGAAGGUGGGGACGACGUCAAGUCAUCAUGCCCCUUAUGUCUUGGGCUGCAAACAUGCUACAAUGGCCGGUACAAUGGGCGUGCGAUACCGUGAGGUGGAGCGAAUCCCUAAAAGCCGGUCUCAGUUCGGAUUGGGGUCUGCAACUCGACCCCAUGAAGGUGGAGUCGCUAGUAAUCGCGGAUCAGCAACGCCGCGGUGAAUACGUUCCCGGGCCUUGUACACACCGCCCGUCACGUCAUGAAAGUCGGCAACACCCGAAACUUGUGGCCUAACCCUUCGGGGAGGGAGUGAGGAACGUGGGCUGGCAGUGCG